GUGAGGAAUAUUGGUCAAUGGCCGAGAGGCUGAACCAGCCAUGCCGCGUGCGGGAGGACGGCCCUAUGGGUUGUAAACCGCUUUUGUUGGGGAGCAAUAAGGAGCACGUGUGCUUUGAUGAGAGUACCCAGCGAAUAAGCAUCGGCUAACUCCGUGCCAGCAGCCGCGGUAAUACGGAGGAUGCAAGCGUUAUCCGGAUUUAUUGGGUUUAAAGGGUGCGUAGGCGGAAGCUUAAGCGUGAGGUGAAAUGCCCGGGCUCAACCUGGGAACUGCCUCGCGAACUGGGUUUCUCGAAUGUCCGUGCCGUGGGAGGAAUGUGUGGUGUAGCGGUGAAAUGCAUAGAGAUCACACAGAACACCGAUUGCGAAGGCAUCUCACGAACGGAUGAUUGACGCUGAGGCACGAAAGCGUGGGGAUCAAACAGGAUUAGAAACCCUAGUAGUCC
rnacentral:rRNA from 1 species